rnacentral:lncRNA from 1 species
UUGGAAAUUACAAAUUCCUCAACGUGUCAGAUGGUUCCUUUGGUUAACUAUGAGGAAUCGACUCUUAACUAAUCAGGAACGUAGGAGACGCCAUCUUUCCCCGGAGCUUUGUGCCAUAUUUGUGGAGCGGACCAAGAGACCAUCCUUCAUGCUUGACGCUACUGUUAUAUUGCAAAGUCUGUCUGAUCAAGACUUGUUUCCGUUGAAGGUAAACAAAGUUUCAUUUCCUUGGAUUUGGCUAAAAGGUGGAUGGAUGGAACUGAUAAUAGGUAUGGUUGGAGUGUAGAAUCUAUUUCAUGGCAUUUUCAUUUUCCAAUUAUUUGCUGGUAUAUAUGGAAAACGCCUAGGAAGUUUAUCUUUGCAGAUCAGUCUUACAGUAUACAGGAGUUAAUUAAGCAAAGUUGGUGUUUGACCAAACAUGCCGCUCAUAUUUCACUUUAGGCAUCGAUUAGAGGAAUGAUUCAAAUGAUCAGAAGAGUUGGAUCUUCCCCCCAUCUGGUUGGAUAAAGAUUAACUCGGAUGGAGCGGUAGCUUCGAAUUUUUCUUGGGCGGGCUGCUGCUGGUGUUCUAAGGGAUGAAUCUGGCAAUUGGAUCGUUGGUUAUUACAGAUAUGGGAGCUGGUUCAGCCUUACAAGCAGAACUUCUAGUAGUUUGGGAGGGUUUGAAUAUUGCAUGGCAAAGAGGUUACAGAAAGGUGAUGGUGGAGAGUGAUAAUGAUGUGAUGGUUCAGCUGAUGUCUGGAAAUUCGAUGGAGCGAUGUUCACCAAGUCUGGUACGGAAUAUUCAGGAGUUUUGUCGGCGUAGUUGGGAAGUUGAGGUUGUAAAGAUUUCCCUUGAGGCGAAUAAAGCUGCUGAUUUCAUGUCUAAAGUUGGUACAACUCAUGCUGCAGAAGUUAGAUGCUUUGAGAACCCAAUCCCAAGCUGCUGGAAGAUAAUUUGAUCAAUUAAACAUAAAAAAGCAAAACCAAGUAAAAAAUAAAUUCAUGCAUUCAAGUCCUAAUCAUACCUCAUGUUCAUCCACAUUCAAACUAUUCAAACUAUCCUUAUAAAUUCAUAUAAUAACCCAAGAUAAAGUUAAACAGAACUAAGAAUAAUGCAUGCCACACCGUCUUAGCGUUUAUGCGUCUUUCCGAUGGAACCUUUACCAUAGAACAGGUGCUUUGGUUUCAAUGUAGGAAUAAUCCUAUCAGACUCUCCACAACAAGAUGAGUUCUUAUUCCUCUUCUUAACAGAUUCCUUUGCCAAUUUAAUGGCCUUCACCUUUUGUGCAGAAUCCUUCAAGCUCUCUCCCGCUGCUACUUCACUGGCUGAUCGUGACCUUGACCGAGAUGUAGACCUCACACGGAGCUUUUUGCUUACUUGUUCGCCAUCUAUAUCCAUAGCACCCUAGCGCUCCCUUUUCUGACUCCUUGACUUGCUACUAGCAGGUUAAUUGCAAGAGGGGGAUCAAGCCCCAAACAAGAUAACUGAUUGCUCAUCCUCUCUGUUGUGAACUUUCUGUGUCAAACUUUCUUGGUAUAAAGGGCCGACUUUCUCCAGUGCUUUUCUUCAGCCUAUGCUGUUGAAUAAGCAAGCUUUUCUUUUUCCUGAUCUCAGCUAGUGGUUAUUGCUCUUCCGGGGAUAAUUCUUGACCAUCCAUCUCAAAGUCAUCACCUUCCUCCUCUAGACUCUCUUCACGUUCCAACUCUUCAAGCCUUAACAAAAUAUCAGGGUCAAUAAAGUUGUACAAAUUGUGGCCAUCAACAAUUUUAGUCAUUAUAUCCUCUUUCCAUUCAUUAUUUGCCAAGAUAUAGUUCUUACUUAAACUAGCAGAACACACACCAGCGCCACCAUUUUCAUCCUCCAAAUCCUUUUCAAUUUUCUCUGCAACUU